AAACUUGUUUGAUGCGUUCAUCUGCUUUAUGUGUGUUCAAGCAGGUGAAUAUUAACUAAACCACAUAUCAAUGCGGCUAAAUAGCCUAAUGUUAAUAUAAUUAUAAUUUGACGGGUAAAAAUAGUACAUGACCGAUUUUUAAUUUAAUUAAAUUUUUUUUAAUACU